rnacentral:rRNA from 1 species
GACGAACGCUGGCGGCGUGCUUAACACAUGCAAGUCGAACGGAAAGGCCCUGCUUUUGUGGGGUGCUCGAGUGGCGAACGGGUGAGUAGCACGUGAGUAACCUGCCCUUGACUUUGGGAUAACUUCAGGAAACUGGGGCUAAUACCGGAUAGGAGCUCCUGCUGCAUGGUGGGGGUUGGAAAGUUUCGGCGGUUGGGGAUGGACUCGCGGCUUAUCAGCUUGUUGGUGGGGUAGUGGCUUACCAAGGCUUUGACGGGUAGCCGGCCUGAGAGGGUGACCGGCCACAUUGGGACUGAGAUACGGCCCAGGCUCCUACGGGAGGCAGCAGUGGGGAAUAUUGCACAAUGGGCGGAAGCCUGAUGCAGCAACGCCGCGUGCGGGAUGACGGCCUUCGGGUUGUAAACCGCUUUCGCCUGUGACGAAGCGUGAGUGACGGUAAUGGGUAAAGAAGCACCGGCUAACUACGUGCCAGCAGCCGCGGUGAUACGUAGGGUGCGAGCGUUGUCCGGAUUUAUUGGGCGUAAAGGGCUCGUAGGUGGUUGAUCGCGUCGGAAGUGUAAUCUUGGGGCUUAACCCUGAGCGUGCUUUCGAUACGGGUUGACUUGAGGAAGGUAGGGGAGGAUGGAAUUCCUGGUGGAGCGGUGGAAUGCGCAGAUAUCAGGAGGAACACCAGUGGCGAAGGCGGUUCUCUGGGCCUUUCCUGACGCUGAGGAGCGAAAGCGUGGGGAGCGAACAGGCUUAGAUACCCUGGUAGUCCACGCUGUAAACGGUGGGUACUAGGUGUGGGGUCCAUUCCACGGGUUCCGUGCCGUAGCUAACGCUUUAAGUACCCCGCCUGGGGAGUACGGCCGCAAGGCUAAAACUCAAAGGAAUUGACGGGGCCCCGCACAAGCGGCGGAGCAUGCGGAUUAAUUCGAUGCAACGCGUAGAACCUUACCUGGGUUUGACGUGGAUCGGGAGUGCUCAGAGAUGGGUGUGCCUCUUUUGGGGUCGGUUCACAGGUGGUGCAUGGCUGUCGUCAGCUCGUGUCGUGAGAUGUUGGGUUAAGUCCCGCAACGGGCGCAACCCUUGUUCACUGUUGCCAGCACGUUAUGGUGGGGACUCAGUGGAGACCGCCGGGGUCAACUCGGAGGAAGGUGGGGAUGACGUCAAGUCAUCAUGCCCCUUAUGUCCAGGGCUUCACGCAUGCUACAAUGGCUGGUACAGAGAGUGGCGAGCCUGUGAGGGUGAGCGAAUCUCGGAAAGCCGGUCUCAGUUCGGAUUGGGGUCUGCAACUCGACCUCAUGAAGUCGGAGUCGCUAGUAAUCGCAGAUCAGCAACGCUGCGGUGAAUACGUUCCCGGGGCU